rnacentral:rRNA from 1 species
CUGAACCAGCCAAGUAGCGUGAAGGAAGAAGGAUCUAUGGUUUGUAGACUUCUUUUAUAGGGGAAUAAAGUGGAGGACGUGUCCUUUUUUGUAUGUACCCUAUGAAUAAGCAUCGGCUAACUCCGUGCCAGCAGCCGCGGUAAUACGGAGGAUGCGAGCGUUAUCCGGAUUUAUUGGGUUUAAAGGGUGCGUAGGUGGUGAUUUAAGUCAGUUGUGAAAGUUUGCGG